CCGGAAGGUGCGGCUGGAUCACCUCCUUUCUAGGGAGAUCCGAGUCUCGACCUUUUGGUGGGGUCGAGGCGUUGAUGGCUCCUAGGGUUGAUCGCCCGGUCGCUCGAGUCUUCCCCGCCAGGUGGAGCUCGCUGACCCGAACCGCAAGGCUCGUGUCAGAGACCGAUCGCGACCUGGAAAGACACCGAAACCCAUUCGGACAUUCGCGUCCGGAGUUCCUGUCACUCUUCAAGGGUCAAGGUGCAGCUGCCCGUGACGACCUCGGUCGUCAGGUGUCGCUGUCCGCGGCGGGCGUUUAGCUCAGCUGGUUAGAGCACUGCCCUGAUAAGGCAGAGGUCUCUGGUUCGAGUCCAGAAACGCCCACCAUCACCCACCCCACCGGCGCGGGGACGUAGCUCAGUCGGCAGAGCAUCUCCUUUGCAAGGAGAGGGUCAGGAGUUCGAGUCUCCUCGUCUCCACCAGCUCUGACGUCGCGCCGGCACCCUCACCACGAAUACCGAACAGCCACCGAUCCAAGCGGACCCCGCCCAGGCGGGGUCGACGUGGAUCCAACCGAGCAUCAACGAUCCCCUGAUCCGUGCCCUGUCGUCUUCGGCAGGCCACCGACCAGCGGAACGCUGGACGAGGGAACGGCUUCGGCCGGCUCCAUCGGGAGGUCCGUCUUUGGGCGGGCCGCACCUUAACAACUGGAAUGUGUUUCGGCAGAUUGAAGAUCUUCGAUUUCGCCGAGUAGUCAAGGAAAUGAUCUCGAUCGAUCCCGUCCGCGACUGACCACCUGGUCAGAGGCUGGAGGGGUCAAGCUACAAAGGGCACGU
rnacentral:tRNA from 1 species